rnacentral:rRNA from 1 species
GACGAACGCUGGCGGCGCGCUUAACACAUGCAAGUCGAACGGAAAGGCCCUGCUUUUGUGGGGUGCUCGAGUGGCGAACGGGUGAGUAACACGUGAGUCACCUGCCCUUUACUUUGGGAUAACUUCAGGAAACUGGGGCUCAUACCGGAUAGGAGCUCCUGCUGCAUGGUGGGGGCUGGAAGGUUUCGGCGGUGGGGGAUGGACUCGCGGCUUAUCAGCUUGUUGGUGGGGUAGUGGCUUACCAAGGCUUUGACGGGUAGCCGGCCUGAGAGGGUGACCGGCCACAUUGGGACUGAGAUACGGCCCAGACUCCUACGGGAGGCAGCAGUGGGGAAUAUUGCACAAUGGGCGGAAGCCUGAUGCAGCAACGCCGCAUGCGGGAUGAAGGCCUUCGGGUUGUAAACCGCUUUCGCCGGUGACGAAGCGUGAGUGACGGUAAUGGGUAAAGAAGCACCGGCUAACUACGUG